UCGGAUUGCAGGCUGCAACCCGCCUGCAUGAAGUUGGAAUCGCUAGUAAUCGCGGAUCAGCAUGCCGCGGUGAAUACGUUCCCGGGCCUUGUACACACCGCCCGUCACACCAUGAGAGUCGGGAACACCCGAAGUCCGUAGCCUGACCGCAAGGGGGGCGCGGCCGAAGGUGGGUUCGAUAAUUGGGGUGAAGUCGUAACAAGGUACC
rnacentral:rRNA from 1 species